AUCCCUUCUCAGUCUUUUGGCUAAGAUCAAGUGUAGUAUCUAUUCUUCUCAGUUUAAAAAAAGAAAAGUUGUCCUAUUAUGAAAGUAAAACUACACAUUUUUAAUUGAAAAAUAUUUUUGUUUUUGUUUUUCGGGCCACACCCAUUUAAUGCUCAGGGUUAAGCGCUCAGAAAUUGCACCUGGCUUGGGGGACCAUAU